rnacentral:rRNA from 1 species
GACGUAGGGUGCAAGCGUUGUCCGGAUUUAUUGGGCGUAAAGAGUUCGUAGGCGGUUUGUCAAGUCUGAUGUUAAAUACCGAAGCUCAACUUCGACACGGCAUCGGAAACUGACAGGCUGGAGUAUGCUAGAGGCAAAGGGAAUUCCCGGUGUAGCGGUGAAAUGCGCAGAUAUCAGGAGGAACACCUAUUGCGAAGGCAGCUCGCUGGGACGUAACUGACGCUGAGACGCGAAAGCGUGGGGAGCAAACAGG